rnacentral:rRNA from 1 species
GAUGAACGCUGGCGGCGUGCCUAAUACAUGCAAGUCGAGCGAACGGACGAGAAGCUUGCUUCUCUGAUGUUAGCGGCGGACGGGUGAGUAACACGUGGAUAACCUACCUAUAAGACUGGGAUAACUUCGGGAAACCGGAGCUAAUACCGGAUAAUAUUUUGAACCGCAUGGUUCAAAAGUGAAAGACGGUCUUGCUGUCACUUAUAGAUGGAUCCGCGCUGCAUUAGCUAGUUGGUAAGGUAACGGCUUACCAAGGCAACGAUGCAUAGCCGACCUGAGAGGGUGAUCGGCCACACUGGAGCUGAGACACGGUCCAGACUCCUACGGAAGGCAGCAGUAGGGAAUCUUCCGCAAUGGGCGAAAGCCUGACGGAGCAACGCCGCGUGAGUGAUGAAGGUCUUCGGAUCGUAAAACUCUGUUAUUAGGGAAGAACAUAUGUGUAAGUAACUGUGCACAUCUUGACGGUACCUAAUCAGAAAGCCACGGCUAACUACGU